rnacentral:rRNA from 1 species
GCAUAUCAAUAAGCGGAGGAAAAGAAACCAACAGGGAUUGCCCUAGUAACGGCGAGUGAAGCGGCAACAGCUCAAAUUUGAAAUCUGGCUUCGGCCCGAGUUGUAAUUUGCAGAGGAAGCUUUAGGCGCGGCACCUUCUGAGUCCCCUGGAACGGGGCGCCAUAGAGGGUGAGAGCCCCGUAUAGUUGGAUGCCUAGCCUGUGUAAAGCUCCUUCGACGAGUCGAGUAGUUUGGGAAUGCUGCUCAAAAUGGGAGGUAAAUUUCUUCUAAAGCUAAAUACCGGCCAGAGACCGAUAGCGCACAAGUAGAGUGAUCGAAAGAUGAAAAGCACUUUGAAAAGAGGGUUAAAUAGCACGUGAAAUUGUUGAAAGGGAAGCGCUUGUGACCAGACUUGCGCCGGGCUGAUCAUCCGGUGUUCUCACCGGUGCACUCUGCCCGGCUCAGGCCAGCAUCGGUUCUCGCGGGGGGAUAAAGGUUCCGGGAAUGUAGCUCCUCCGGGAGUGUUAUAGCCCGGGGCGUAAUGCCCUCGCGGGGACCGAGGUUCGCGCUCUGCAAGGAUG